rnacentral:rRNA from 1 species
CAGUAGCCGCGGGAAUACGAGGGGGGCAAGCGUUGUUCGGAAUUAUUGGGCGUAAAGGGUGCGUAGGCGGUUUGGCAAGUCUUGUGUGAAAUCUUCGGGCUCAACCCGAAGCCUGCACGAGAAACUGCCGGGCUUGAGUAUUGGAGAGGUGAGUGGAAUUUCCGGUGUAGCGGUGAAAUACGUAGAUAUCGGAAGGAACACCUGUGGCGAAAGCGGCUCACUGGACAAUAACUGACGCUGAUGCACGAAAGCUAGGGGAGCAAACAGGAUUAGAUACCCCAGUACCCUGUCUCUUAUACAC